UACGAAGGGGGCUAGCGUUGUUCGGAAUUACUGGGCGUAAAGCGCACGUAGGCGGAUCGAUCAGUCAGGGGUGAAAUCCCAGGGCUCAACCCUGGAACUGCCUUUGAUACUGUCGAUCUGGAGUAUGGAAGAGGUGAGUGGAAUUCCGAGUGUAGAGAUGAAAUUCGUAGAUAUUCGGAAGAACACCAGUGGCGAAGGCGACUACCUGGCCUGUUCUUGACGCUGAGGCGCGAAAGCUAGGGGAGCAAACGGG
rnacentral:rRNA from 1 species